CCUUGUACACACCGCCCGUCACACCACGAAAGUUGACUGCACCAGAAGUCGGUGUCCUAACCGUAAGGAGGGAGCCGCCCAAGGUGCGGUCGAUGAUUGGGGUG
rnacentral:rRNA from 1 species